rnacentral:rRNA from 1 species
UACGGAGGGGGCUAGCGUUGUUCGGGCUUACUGGGCGUAAAACGCACGUAGGCGGAUUGUUAAGUCGGGGGUGAAAUCCCGGGGCUCAACCCCGGAAUGGCCUCCGAUACUGGCAAUCUUGAGGUCGGGAGAGGUGAGUGAAAUGGCGAGUGUAGAGGUGAAAUUCGUAGAUAUUCGCCGGAACACCAGUGGCGAAGGCGCCUCACUGGCCCGAUACUGACGCUGAGGUGCGACAGCGUGGGGAGCAAACAGG